UGACCACAUAUUAGCCUUUCCGAACCUAAUUUAACUAUCCGAGCCUGCAAUCUCCUAAACAAAUCUUUGUAGUGGCAAAAACCCAACCUAAAUUUUGUUAAGCCAAGACUGCCUCCGUCCAGCCUUCGUCCUCUCGAUCACAUCAACAGGCUAACGCCAGAUUAUGCAGUAACGGGUCCGUGGGAAAAUCGGCAACCAAGAGAGUAAGGGAUUAUGUAGGAGAAAACAUAAGCUACCAUUCACAGAUGGUUCCCGUCCUCACCUUAGUUAUGGAGUUAGUAAUUUUGAGGCAUGGAUCGGAGACGUUAUAUUGAUGUAGCCUGGAGGAAGAUAUGUAAGAGCAAAGAGACAUGCUGCAAUAUAUUUUAGAGUAAAGUUGAUUCAUGUCAAGAGGUUGCCAAAGAAUUUGCUAUACCAGACUACCAGUUAGGUCUCAACGUUUCCGGUGAUGGGCAAAGAGGCAAAAUACAUACCACCCAAAUCGGCGCUUGCCGCCUUAGUAGGAAUUGUGAUGGUUCCCUUCCUCAUCUUAGUUAUGGACUUGGUGAUUUCGAGGCAUGGAUCGAAGGCAUUUUAUUGAUGUAACAUGGAGGAAGAAAUGAAGAAUUUGCUAAAGCAUUUGCUAUACCAGUUAGGUCUCAACAUUUCUGAUGAUGGGCAAGGAGGCAGAACCAUACAUACCACCAAAAUCGGCAUUUACCGCCUUAGUAGAAAUUGUGGUUGGAAAAUAUUUGCUCUAUUUCUUGUAUUUAUUUGUUCCACACACACCUGCUGUUGUUUCAAUUCACAUAUUUUACAUUUUCCCACAGUUUUUAGAUCAUCAUGUAGGAAAUAUCUUACUACCCACCACAACCAAUUUACGUAGCUCAGCCAUGCUUCACUUUAUAUAUUAAGGCUCAAUAGUCACAAUACUAAAUAUAAUUGUGUUCCUGGUGUGUAAUAUCUUCCCCCACCAUCUCCCUGUAAUAUUUGUAUGCUAUAAAGGGGAAGAGAUAAAUGAACAAGGUAUACUCCAUGUAAAGUGGUUAUGUUUAAAGUGGUUUUAUAUUUAUUCUGAAAGAAGUGCGUGUAAUUAUUAAAAAGCAAACCUCAACUCGCUAACCAAAAACAACAUCGCGCAUGUGUAGAAAUUGCCAAAGUACCUCUAAUUGGCAUGAGUAUUUCCCCUUAUUUGGUGUUUGUUUUUGGCUUGCUUUUCGCACUUUAGAAAGUUAGGUAGUUAGUUGAAGUGUGUAUAAUACAGACCAGAAAAUGUAGCUUUGUGGCCCCUCUCGUGGGACUAUCUAUUUGAUGUAUAUUCCUCAUGUUUCUUUAAAAACAAUUAUGAAUUAUGAUAUCUAUUAGAGAAUAUGUGAUUAUUCCCGAAAAUUAACUUUGCAGUUGCUUUUUGGCAUAACAUUUAGGACUCAUGUAUUUUUUUGUGCAGAUGAAUCAUGAAUUCUGAAUAAAUGAACAAACAAAGGGUAGUGAUCCUAAUACCUCCAAAAAGGUAAAAUUGCUAUGUAACAUGGAUCAAGGACUCAUCGACCUUGCACAAUAUUUUUAAAAAAAACGCCCGAUGAUAAAGCAGGUCAGGGAUCGAGAAUGUAUUGGAAUUCAUAGAGGACUUUUUGUGGAAAAAACGAUCUGUUUGCGACUUUGUUGGGAAAUGCAAGAGGUCAGAGGAAGAAUGGAGGCGAUGAUCCGAAUGAGUUAGUCCUGGUCUUUUAGAUCUGCAUGCUUUCCAUAGUGAGCUUAUUCCUGAGGUGCUUCAUCCAGGAUGCCGAAAAAGUGGCCAAGAAACCUGCAAAACAAUGCUUAUGGCAGGAAGGAGGUCUUGCUGGAGUGGCGAGCUGGAUAUGCUGCUACCCUCCAGAUGUUAAAAUCUGGCUUCAAGGACUAUUUGGUCACAUUACACCUGCAAAUGGACAGAGUCACAGAUCAACAGCAAAAGGAAUUGUUUAAAGAACCAACAUAGCCUAAGUUUAAAGGGCAGGGUACUUCAUCCUCUUCCCGCACCAACUCAGUUCAGAAGUUGUGGAGUUCGAAUUUUUUGUUAGAAGGCUUAUUUAUCUGGCAAAGCCGCAAAGGAUCACCACCCAAAAAACUUUAUUACAUCAUUUAACUCUUUGUGAGGAAUUUUACAAAAACACAAUUUACAAUCCAGCCUGAGCCAAACACAAUUUGAUUUAACAACAAACUAACCUAGCAACCCGUGCCUCGCACGGGUUUUUAUGCUAGUUUAUUAUGAUAAAGUGAAUUAUACAUAGUAACCAAAUUAAAUUGAAUAUUACAUCAUUUUUUUAUAAAAAAAUUCACAACCGUUCCAUCACUUAAAAAGAUCAUAGAUUGAUUUUUUUUUUUUGGGGUUUUAUAUCAUGAGUAUCAUAAGAGAAUUCCACAGCAAGACUUGCAAGUAAGAAUAGUAGACGUUGUACUCAUUGUAGUGAUAAUAACCCUUAUAUAGGGAAUAAGAUAGAA